rnacentral:rRNA from 1 species
UGAGUAACACGUAUCCAACCUGCCGUCUACUCUUGGACAGCCUUCUGAAAGGAAGAUUAAUACAAGAUGGCAUCAUGAGUCCGCAUGUUCACAUGAUUAAAGGUAUUCCGGUAGACGAUGGGGAUGCGUUCCAUUAGAUAGUAGGCGGGGUAACGGCCCACCUAGUCUUCGAUGGACAGGGGUUCUGAGAGGAAGGUCCCCCACAUUGGAACUGAGACACGGUCCAA